rnacentral:ncRNA from 1 species
AGUAUCCGGUGCCCUGCGUAAUGCGGGGAGAAUAGGGAAGCAGGUGCGAAUCCUGCGCGAUCCCGUCACUGUGAUAGAGCGUGUCAGUUCAAUAUGUCACUGGGAUGAUCAUGAUACCCGGGAAGGCGGACUGACAUGAUAUGUUCUUAAGCCAGGAGACCUGCCGGUACUU